rnacentral:lncRNA from 1 species
AGCAGUGAGGACACAGUUGACAGUUGACCAUAUUUUAAUGAUCGUAGUAAAAUCAAAAGUCAUAACUUUGGUUAAUUAUACUUUGCAUACAUUUGUAUAAAAGACAUUUUUAAUUUGUGAAGAGCUUUUGAGCUCGGUUCAUUAUUAAGCUUAUCUGUGAGUAAAAAAAUGCUUACAGAGAGAAUGACUUUUGGGGGAAAAAACUCGAAAGUAGAUUGUAUUUUGUUUCAUUGUAAAUGUUGCAUGUUUGAUUUUUUUGCCUUUGUGUGCAUUGCUCUCUGUGUGGUGUGAUAUUUUUUAAUGGUAUCCGUCUGUUGUCUCUGACAAUAGACAAUUUUUUUUUUUAAAUCAAAUUAAUCGUUGCGGCUACGAAAAUGUCAAAUCGUUAAGUAAAAUCGAAGCAGAACUUGAAAGGAAUAAUACUUAAAAUCAGUGUUAUUUUUUUCUGAACUGCAAUACGUCGGGCAAAAAAUGUUACGGUUUUGAAGAGGCAAACCUCAAAUUGACGAAAAUACGAAAUCAACUUUAAAAUGUUAGGCAGUAUUGGAAUAAAAAAUACCUACCCGGAUAUUUACUUGACUACGCGUAUGACGAAAACUGAAAACAAAAUACAAAUCGGUCCAAAAUAAAUUGUAGCGAAAAUCACAUAGUAAACUAAUUUUUUUUCCGAAAAAAAAAUCACUCCGCUUUCUACGUGUAGGCCUACACGCUAGGAAAAUGAUGAAAAUAACGCGAGGAAAACAUCACAGCGUUAGUGAGAGUAAAAAUACCCGAAAUCAGUAUUAUUUGUCUUACCAUAAAGUAAACAAAAUGGGUUAUCGAAAUAACAAAUCAAAAUGACGAAAAUAACGGCAUAAAAAUUAAUCAUCCGCAACGAGAGAAGUAAACUUUACAUGUACAUGCAAAUUGAUGCUAAUUUCUAAACUUCCAAAUUUGGCCACAGAAAAAAAGACCGAAAUUAAGAUUUAAAAGAAAGGAUGAAAUUAUGCUGAGCAGUAAAUACCGGUUCUACAUUGCCUCAAAAAGUCGGAAAGCGAAUAUUGGCAAACGGUGGGAAAAUGACGGCAGCAAAAGAAAAUGAAAUUGACGAAAUUACGAGAAAAAAAAUCACACCAUAAUGAACAAAAUAUCUGUUUAGAAAAUGACUGAAUUUCAGUUAUAUACAGCGGUAUUUCAAAAACAUCAAAAUUGUUGGCAUUGUCGAAAAGUACCUUCAAAAAGACCUUAUUGCCCCCCCCCCCCCCCCCCCACCAAAAAAGGUACAUUGUGAAAGGGUACAACUUAUUGGCAACCUGCCGUUAUCGGUGUCGGCACAUGUUCGUGUGCAUUAUGACAAAAAAGAUCAUGUCUGUUUUUAAAAGUAAAUAGUGGAAACAUGGGUAGAAUCGUUUAGUUUCUAUUUGGUAACAAGUGGCCUUAUUACAGGUUGGCUUAGACAUAAUGCUCUGGAAUGUUUCACUUCAGUAACAAAUGGGCUAGGCCCAGUGUUUUCGUAACCCUGUUCACUUAGGAAAGAGUUGCAGCUUUCAUCAAAGAAACUGAUGACCUAAAAGUUGAGACUGCAUGGAUGAGCUAGGCUGCUUUGUCUGGACGAAAAUCAACCCUCCAAGGCUCCAACAGCCUCAUCACACAGAAACUCAGGAACCGGAAGCAGGGAGGAGGACCGACAGAUGAACGGAUGACCUGCUUGCUGGGCUACCCAUUACUGAUUCUUGAGACAUGAGGACCACUGACUGGUGAGGGAAUUGCCCUAUGAUGGAUGAGCCUGCCUCAAGCUGCCAUAAGCUGGGAGGACCGACGGUUGACUGACUCUGCCUGCUUGGUUGGCCAUCACCGAUUCUUGAGGUAUGUUUACUUGAAAAGAGACCAUGGAUAUGUAGGCCUACACUUAAAUUUGUUAUUCCUUUAAUACUAUGUCACCUCUUACGAUGCUUGAUUUCCUCUUUAA